UUGAUGAAAGCCAGCUCAAGAUGUGUAAGUGACUGAGUGCUUGGAUGAGGCAGGAGUAAAGCUUUAAAGGCGCUCCAAAGUGGGUUGAAUCUUCUUUAGACGAAGCAGAGUUUGGUAUAUGGCUGGGUAACUACCACAUGCUUCCUUGUUUAUAAGUAUGUGAUAGUUCAUGUAGAUAAAUGGCUUGGGAAAUACUUCAUAGACGUGAAGGAAAAUGUGGCAGAAUAAAUUAUCUCAGUGACAGUUACAUCAGGAGCACCCAUCUUUUUCAGUCUCUCAGACCAAAAUAGCUGAGAACAGUCUGGCCUCGUUAAUUGUUUACUGCGAACGGGUGAUGUCUUUCAUCUUCCUGCACUCCUACGAAGUGACAGGGAUUGCUUUUCCCACAGCACAGCCUUUAUUCCAGAUAGAGUAUUUUGAAUAGAUUGGUGAGAGCGCUAGCAGAGGAGCAUCCCACCUGGGUCAUGGGCAGACUUCUAGGACUUGCUCUUGUCCUUGACCACACCGCAGGGAGAUCCGCAAGCCACCAGAAGGCCCUGUGCAACAGGUCACUGUUGUCCUUCCCAUCUCUGGUGUGCCAGGGCAUUCUAACAGGUGACACACAGUAGAUUUAGGAAUUAAGCUAUCUGAGAGGGAACAAGAAUGUGUCCUCCGUGGAGCAGCACCAUUGCAGCAACUGAUGUCCUGCCCUGUACUAGAGGUAUAUGCAAGCAGAUCUGUGCUGGGAACUUGGACAGAUGGGUGGACAACAUCAUGAAGAACUUAAAACUUGCUGGUUUUGAGGGUGUAGUAUCUGAUAGCGGAAUUAUUUUGUCUCCACAAGAUCUGGUGAUUAAUACUGUGCUGUUAUGUUCUGGUUGUGGAAGCAUGCCUUAGUGUCCCCAUGCCAGGAGCUGUCAUGAGUACUUUGGAGGUAAGUCCUGGUCCAAAAAGAAGUGCCUGUUGCCUCUGGGGGUGUUGUUUCCACCAAACUCCUGUAGCUUGGUGGCGUGGCAGCCAAGUAUUGGAGGUCCUCCUCUGCUGAAUUGCUUUACUGUAGAUGCAGAGCAUGGAGAGCACAACAGGACCAUAUGCUGUACCAUCCCUGCUGCACCGACACCACUUGGGCUCCUGCUCCAUCCAUUUUAUCCCGUAUGUCCUGACUUCUUUUGGCAGCUCUCACUCUUCAUCCCCUUCUCAUCGAAGCACCCUGCCCACGUCUUCUCAGCCACUCUCUGGAGACAGCUGAUGUGGAGGAGCUGUUGUAGCACUGAAGCAAAACCUGGCUGCGUCUGCCAACCCGGACCUCUUCCCUAUCCUUUGUUGGUGCCACCUCAAGCUGAGCACAGGUGGUCUCACAAGGCCAAAAAAGAUGGCCCUACAUGCAGGGAUCACCUUGAAUCCCACACAGCACUGUCAGAUUAAAUGCCAUCUUCUGGCAGUGGCCUGAAGCAAAUUAGAAAUGCAGCCACAAAUCAUGAUGUGCAAGGUAUAUCAUGGUCAUGACAUACAAGAGCCCUGGCCUGGCUCUUUGCCAGUUAGAACUUAGAAACAGUGAGCUGCUCUUUCUAUGCUUGCCCAUGGAAGAAAAUAUGAAACAUAAAAAAAUCCAUGGGGAGCUAUUUGAAGAAAAGGACUCCAGCUCUUGCUCACAGAGUCCUUAAGCCACUGGUUGCCUGAAGCUGGGAAGGACAAGGAGCCAGUCAUCACCACAUGCUUGCCCUGUUCUUUAUUCUUACCUGUGGAUUGGCAUGUGGUUGGCAUUGGAGAAGCCAAACCUAGUGUACAAAACCAGCUCAUUGUAGUCUGCCUGGCGUAGAUUAGGCACGUGGCCCUGGAGAUCACACUGCAGAGGAUGUGAUUUUCCCUCUGAGUCAAGCACUGGUGGGCUCUGCACUUUUGGGGCAUGGGAGACAGUGGUCAUAGGCCAGUUGAUAAGGAUGCCUGGAGCCAGCCAAAAUGGAAAAGGAAGAAAAUGUGCAGUCAGUCUGCGUGACUGCUUGGUGUAGGGCAGUCAUGAUGCUUUUGAGACGUUUACAGCCAGAGUGGUGUGGGUCACAAGGGAAUUUGCUGGUGGGUGGGAGAUGGGUGCCAUUGCAUGGGGCAGCCUGAAGUGCAGCUCCAUUGUGGAUGAGUUGGGAAACAGCAAAUUUGACUUAAAGACCGGUUUCUACAUUGAGUGUUUUCUUUGCUGUCCCAGACUUCAGCUGAAAGAAGUAGGAAUAUUCUCCAUGGAAAUGCCUGCUAAGAAUAUAAUCACCAUUUUCGUACUUUCCUGGUGCCUUUUGAGGCUCUCAGUUACAGAGAAAGGUAAUUGGUUUCUUCGUGUUAGAACAAAAUACUUGAGUAUGUGUUCAUAAGUAUGUAUACAUAUAAAUAAAUGAAAACAUUCAUUGUUUUCAUCAACAUGC